ACAACCUUCCGAGUUGCCCUGCUGUUGCCAAGGGUACAAAAUGAACUUUGACCUCAAAUGUAGUUGGUUAAGAGCCAUCCUGGUUAUCCAAAGAGGACAAUUUCUUUUUUUUUUCUUCCUUUUUUCUUCUUUAAUUAUCAGGAUUGGGGGUGGGGAAAUGAGGUGGAGGUAUGGAUUUGACCCACAUUACUCAGAAUCAGCUUUGAGGGACGAGCAUGAGUUUGUUGGAUAAAACUUCCUUUUUUUUUAAAAACAAAAACAAAAAAAACCCCAACAAAAUUAAUGAUUUUCCAGUAAUUUUUCAGUUAACAGAACGUCAGCUCAGGCAAAGAGACAAGCACAAACACUGCUGACUCAUGCUGUAGUGACUUUUAUUUAUUUAUUUUUUAAAUUGUGUGAGUAAAUCUGACCCUGUCAUGACACAUUUUUUUAAACUGAGGAGUAAUUUUGUUCUCUUCAGUUAUUACGUUUUUUGUUUUUGCUGCCGAGUUUGGAUACUUUAUUCCUCCUGCACCUGUGGUGAGUUGGUGGUGGACUAGGAGGAAGAUGUCAUGCUAAGGAUGGGGUUUUUGGUGAUGAUGUCGCUGCUGUUGAUGCAGCAUCGAGCUCUCACUUUGUGCCUCUGUCAGCUAUGAUGCGUAACCACACAGUGAGUGACAGGCCAGUCCCCGGGGAGAGCAAAGGGGCCUGAGAAGCUCGAGCUCUUUUGAGGAGCGCCGAGGAGGACUGACCGUCGUGAAGACACUGCUGGGAGCAGGAGUCCUAUCUGCUCUAAUGGCAGUCACUGGCCGUUAGACAUGGCGUCCAACAGACUAGUGGUGCAAGUAUGGAAAUGCAGAUCAGGCAUUGUUGAGCCAACAUGCCUGGGAAUUGUUCAAGGCUUUCUUUUGCAUAAUAUUGGAAUAAUGUUGGAUGCUUUUUGCAAAUGAUUUAAUCUCAAGCACCCCAUGAAUUUGAUCCUUGUUGAAUCUGCCCAUGGAAAGGCUUAUGUGUGGUGUUUUUUUUCUUAUGCUUGUGAAUAAAUCUGUGAAUAUUUAUAAUGCUAUUGCAUGUAUUUCUCUUUUUUGAGAGCAUUAAUACUGCAGAAGAGUGAUUUUUCCGACAGUAUGUGAACUCUUUGAGCGAAACAAACAUAACUGGAAACUUUUGUGUAUAAUCUUUCAAGCUUUAUUUACUCUUCUUUUGCAGUGUUCAGGAGGCAGUUAAUUACACAAUUAAUACAUGAUACAAAUUAUGUACAUUUAUACCAAAGAAUACUUCCCAACAUAAAAUAAAAAAUAGCAUUGUAUUCUACAACUCUGUGUUGUAAUUUUAUUUAAACGUGUUCAUAUAUAGAUAGAUAUAUACGCUGAUGAGUAAAUUCAUAAUGUCGUACCAGCAGGUUUUUCAUAAAGGCAUUCAACUUGAAUAGUCUGCAUUUGAAGUAAUACUGCUUCUCUGAUUCGGCACAGUUCUGUUUCAUAAAAAGUUCACGCUUGAACUUUAAGGCAAAGUGUGUUUCUGUUUGGUGGAUUUUUAAUUCAUACACACUUUUUGCAGAUACACAACAAAAAACAAAAAACAAAAACAC